AGUGGCAGAACAUCCUCGGUGGUCUUAUAAAAUCCAGUCUUUGAAGUUGUACUCUUUGAACUUGGAGACUCAGGAUCCUAGCAACCAUUCUAAGGUAAUUAUCAACUGACAGAAGAGAACAUUUAGAAAGAAAUUUUCCCCAAGACAUGGCCUAUUGCAUCGGUGCUGAUAUCCUUUCAAGAACCUAC